rnacentral:tRNA from 1 species
UAGGAACAUAGCUCAGAUGGUAGAGCAACUGACUUUUAAUCAGAGGGUCACUGGUUCGAGCCCAGUUGUUCCUGU